AUUUGGUUUUAUUUUUACACAUGAACUGCAAACAUAGAACUGCAUGACCUAGAAGAAAUGACAGCUGGUAAGAAAAUAGGUUUCUAUGGGUUAUCUGGGACCAAGAGUGCUGGGUGCAGAAGGGUCAGUAGAUGAUACAGUGACCACCUUGGUACAGUUGCCAGUGAGCUAUCAGGAAUCACAAGUAGAUUGAGGAAAGCUUCAAUAGAAGGCAUAGAGGUAGUGGAAAAUGAUUCAUGAACCCUUCUGAGUAAUAACAAAUACUUUUAAAAACCAUAUCAUGAGUUCUAAUAUAAUUUUCUUGUCUGGGAUCAGCUAUUUUCAGGAUCACUUGUUCUUUUAGGCUCCUGAACUUUUACACUAAAGACUGUGGUGUCAUUAGAAAAAUGAUCACACACUUGGAAUCCCUGAUUGCCUAAUCCUCCAGCAGUUAAUGUCCAUGGAAACAGCCUCUAAGAUGCCUAUUCAUCAAAAAGUGUUCCAGGUUCAUUCUAAUUCAAUAAAUUAUGUUGAGAUUAAGUUAUACAUAAUGGAUGUUAAUAUUACCAUCAUUAAUAUUGUUAUUAUUUUCAGACCUCAAAGUUUAUUUUUGAAAUACAGAUUGAUAUUUUCCCUAAAAUGCUAAAGCUUUUACAUACAUACAAAAGUAUGACCUGGGUUUGGAAAUUUGCUUUGCAGUCUGGGAGCUCCUAGUUAACUUAAAGGAUUUUAAAUGCAAUUAGUACUUUCAAGCAAUUGAUGUCAGAUUGUCAUAUCUUACUCUUUGGGGCAUGAGGCUAGGUAUUUUACAAUGCCCAAAAACAACUUUCAAAAUAGUAUUUAGCAAACUGUCUGGAGCCUCUUUACCCCAAAAUUAGAGUAUCCAACACAGAUGAUACCCAAGAUGUAACUUGAAGAUUACUGAUUUUUUAAAUGCCUCCCUGGAAUUUACAUAUUAAAUUGAUUACUUUCUCCUUCAUAAUAGUUACCUUUUGACACUUACAUAUUCAUCCCAAGUACAAUUUCACUAAUUUUCAAGGCCCAGGCACCACUGUAAUUCUGGGCAUAUAAAUCGUAAAUAUUCUAUGAUUGAAUGGGUCCGUGAGUGAGUGAACAAAUGGUAAAAGAACAGAUAAAUUAAUUUAGAACCUUUGCUCUGAGGAGUGCUUUCCCAGCCAGUAAUACUUUUAAUAUGUACACUAAUGGCAAAGCUUUCUGGUUUGGGGUGAAUUUGAUUAAUGAAAAGAGUCAAAAAAAUCAUUUGGAAUAAGUCUUGGGGAUAAGAGACACAAUCCAGUGGGAUAAGGACACUUAGGAAAACACAAGGCAUGAUCAAAAUACUGCAAGUCUGGCUUUCUCAUAAUUGAGUUCUGAAGGCAAUUCCAGAAAUGAUUUGAGCAUCCACAACAACUCUGAACUAAGCAUGUUAACUCCAGAAUGACUGCUUAGAAAGGCUAUGUUAUUUUGAAUGAAGAAAAACUGACAUGCUGAUUUUCUGUUUCUCUAAUUAGGCUCAUACAUUUAUGGUCAAGGUGUAUAUCAUAUUUUGUAAAUGUGAUUAUAAGAAAAGACCAUUUUUCUUA
ensembl:lncRNA